rnacentral:sRNA from 1 species
AUUCUAAGACCAUCUCCAACACGCAGGGUUCUCUCA